rnacentral:rRNA from 1 species
AUUGAACGCUGGCGGCAUGCCUUACACAUGCAAGUCGAACGGCAGCACGGGGCAACCUGGUGGCGAGUGGCGAACGGGUGAGUAAUGCAUCGGAACGUGCCAUUGAGUGGGGGAUAACGUAGCGAAAGUUGCGCUAAUACCGCAUAUUCUGUGAGCAGGAAAGCAGGGGACCGCAAGGCCUUGCGCUCUUUGAGCGGCCGAUGUCAGAUUAGCUAGUUGGUGAGGUAAUGGCUUACCAAGGCGACGAUCUGUAGCGGGUCUGAGAGGAUGAUCCGCCACACUGGAACUGAGACACGGUCCAGACUCCUACGGGAGGCAGCAGUGGGGAAUUUUGGACAAUGGGCGCAAGCCUGAUCCAGCCAUGCCGCGUGAGUGAAGAAGGCCU